UACGUAGGGACCAAGCGUUGUCCGGAAUCAUUGGGCGUAAAGCGCGCGUAGGUGGCCAUUUAAGUCCGCUGUGAAAGUCAGAGGCUCAACCUUUGAAAGCCGGUGGAUACUGGAUGGCUAGAGUACGGAAGAGGCGAGUGGAAUUCCUGGUGUAGCGGUGGAAUGCGCAGAUAUCAGGAGGAACACCGGUGGCGAAGGCGGGUCUCUGGGCCGUAACUGACGCUGAGGAGCGAAAGCAUGGGGAGCGAACAGG
rnacentral:rRNA from 1 species